UAGCCAGCACCCCGAGUGGUCGGGACGUUUAUUGGGCCUAAAGCAUCCGUAGCCGGUUCUACAAGUCUUCCGUUAAAUCCAGCUGCUUAACAGAUGGGCUGCGGAAGAUACUAUGGAGCUAGGAGGCGGGAGAGGCAAGCGGUAGCUCGAUGGGUAGGGGUAAAAUCCGUUGAUCCAUUGAAGACCACCAGUGGCGAAGGCGG
rnacentral:rRNA from 1 species